CCUGGCGUUUUGUCGAGAACCUGACAGGCGAGGGCAACUGUCUGCACGAUGUCACCGUAAACACGGAGGGGAUCUCGCCUUUGCUUGGCAGAUAACCCAGUUAACGGUAUAGCUAACGUUACCGAGGCUAAAACUCGAAGCAACAGUGUUCACUCAGUUUGCCAUCAGCGCCAACGAUAACAUUAGUUGGACUAUCGGCGUGAACAACCACCGAGCUAAUCGGCUAAAAGUUGUAAAACGUGCCUCCCGUGAACGGCGAAGGUUGAGAAACGUCCCUACUGUAUUUUCACCGAAUUGUCCGAUAAUGUCUUCGUUAGAACCAGUUUACUGACUGCUGCUGUGGGGGAGCGGUUCUCGUCGGCUGUCAUCAGGUACCGUCCCUCUUCUUCUUCUACCUCUAAUGAGCGACAACGUGCAGCAACGCCCCCUGUCAUUUCUAACUACUAUCAUAUAUUAUAAUAUUUCUUUUAUUGAAACUUUAUCUUUGAAUGAAAAAACGUGAAGUUAUUUGUGUUAAAAAUACAAGUGGGGGAGAGGUGUACGCGUGACUGAUAUGACAGCAAGCGCCACCAAGACAGAAAUAAAGAGAGACAUUAAGAGUAGUAUAAUGGAAAGCUACGCAGAGAGUGUUGUGCCUCACUACCCAGUCCAGUAGAUGGCGGUAAUACGCAAGUGCUAUUGAAAUCCAAAGAAGAAGAGACAGAACGGAAGCGCCUUACGUUCACGUGCACGCUCUACUAGGAAUUGUUUUAAGGCUUGCGCGCGCUGUUCCCAGUAGUUCGAGAAGCUAGUGAUAUUUCGAUAAAGCAAAAACUAGCGAAAAUGUCGAGCACCAGACUCGGAGCGUUUCGGAGUUUUUUAACGGAGAAAUUCAUGAACUUGGCUGUGGAGUUAUUUGAAGAAGUGGAAACUAUUGUGGAGACGUACUACGAGGAAAACAAGCGUCAGAGGACCAUACUACAGAUGGCUCUGAAUCCACAGAUACAGUUAUCAAAGAUAGAUAUUGGUCAACACACUGGAGCCACACCUAAUGUCAAAAAGCAGCCACCACAGCUGAACACAUUGGUGCAACCAACAAGAGCAGAACCACUUCCAAAAAAACAUAAAGAGGAACAAAUUGAAAGUGACAAAAACUCCAAAGCCGAUGACUUGUUGACAACUUGUGUGCAAAGUGACCCAGGAGAAGAAGAGAACAUAAAUAUGCCCUACAUCGUUAACUCCUUCCACAUUCCAGCGGAGGACCCCAAACCUGAUUUUACAGCCAGUCAUUCAGGUGAUGAAGAAGUAAUUUAUGGACACAAGGACAUCUUAACAGACUGCAAUGUAAAAAAUGUAGAUGUUGUUGUAGAAAGUUUAUCUCUGUGUCAGAGUGAAGGGGGAACAACUGAAUGUGGUGAACCUCAAAACAGUCUUAUUUCGGAAAAGACCAAGUCGAAGCAUCUUUCUACCAAACGGACACCAACAAAACCCUGCCUGCAGGAAACCAAACUUGAAUUACCAAGUGGUGUUGGUGAAUCUCCUCAGACGUUUAAUGAUGCUCGGGUCACACUGCGCCCAAUUGUUCAGUUAAAAAGUCUGUGCCAUCGUUCUCCACAUGGGCAUUGUAAUGAUAUUGGUCAACACACUGGAGCCACACCUAAUGUCAAAAAGCAGCCACCACAGCUGAAAACAUUGGUGCAACCAACGAGAGCAGAACCGCUUCCAAAAAAACAUAAGGAGGAACAAAUUGAAAGUGACAAAAACUCCAAAGCCGAUGACUUGUUGACAACUUGUGUGCAAAGUGACCCAGGAGAAGAAGAGAACAUAAAUAUGCCCUACAUCGUUAACUCCUUCCACAUUCCAGCGGAGGACCCCAAACCUGAUUUUACAGCCAGUCAUUCAGGUGAUGAAGAAGUAAUUUAUGGACACAAGGACAUCUUAACAGACUGCAAUGUAAAAAAUGUAGACGUUGUUGUAGAAAGUUUAUCUCUGUGUCAGAGUGAAGGGGGAACAACUGAAUGUGGUGAACCUCAAAACAGUCUUAUUUCGGAAAAGACCAAGUCGAAGCAUCUUUCUACCAAACGGACACCAACAAAACCCUGCCUACAGGAAACCAAACUUGAAUUACCAAGUGGUGUUGGUGAAUCUCCUCAGACGUUUAAUGAUGCUCGGGUCACACUGCGCCCAAUUGUUCACUUAAAAAGUCUGUGCCAUCGUUCUCCACAUGGGCAUUGUAAUUGUAAGUAAAAAAAAUAUAUAUCUUUCUUACAGAAACAUGUUUUUUGACUUCAACAACAAUUUGACUAAUGCUGUUGCUAACAUUAGUUUGUCAUUUCUGUUCUUGUGAGCAGCAGCAGCAGCAAACUGCCUAAAAGUGUUAAAUGUUACUUUACAUUCUGGAACUUUGUUGCAUUUCCCAGCUAGAAGGCUCAUUCAGGUCAAGUACAAGCAACGGCAAAGGUAUGUGACGCUGGAUGAUACUGGAGAAAGGUUGGACUUUCUGCAGUUCCAUAAAAAAGGUUUGUUUUGUUUCACCCAUUCAAAACAGUGUUCUUCUGGCUUCAGUGUUGCAGACUUGUUAUUUUUACAUUAGUGUUUGCUUAACAGGUUAAAAACUAAAGAAUUUUAAAAUUAGUCACGUCACUUCUUGGUGCCAAUUAGUGAUAUAUGUGCAACUCACAAAGUCAUUCUUUGUACGGCAAGGAUGGGCGAUUACUUUUAAAGCACUUUCUGAUUUAUCUUCUCUCUUCCAGUCAUUGAAAGGUUUUCCCUGCCACCAGAAGCAGACAUUGUAUACAAGGACUCAACAGGGACACAAAUCAAUGAAGAAAUCUUCAGUGAUCGUGUAAGACAAGGCUACAUGCUGUUGUCUGUUUUUUUAAAUAAUGGUGAGUUUUAUUCAAAUGUAAAAUUUGGUUCUGUCGGUUUUAGGCUGAUCACCAAAAUAUAUGUACUUGUUUCAAUACAUUCUGUUCCAUUAGAUCUCUCUGACACCUUGAACAUUACAACGUCUGAAUCAAGUCACAGCAGGUCAACUUUAACCCUGGAUGAGAUCCCGAACAAGCGACAAAGAUUAAACGAUCCAUCUUUUGCAAUGCUUGCAAGACAGGUCAGACCAAAGUAAUUAUACCAGGCUUCUAAAAAAACAUUCAGGUUCAGUCUGUAGAAAGUUUUGAAUGGUUUCUUAUGCUUUUUUGUUAGUUGGUUGAGGGUGUGCUGAAAAUUAAGUCUGGGGGUGAAGAGAUACUACAGGAGUAUCACGCUACAGACACUCUUACAAAUGCCACAAGAAGAAAGAUGGUUAACAUACUGGUGGCUCACAUGACUGAUAUCCAUGGGUAUUUGUCCUGCAGUUUUUUCUUUUUUGGCAGUAAAUACCUCUAUGCCUAUUGUAUAUAUGAUAUUACUAAUUUGAUAUCUCAUAUCAGGCUUAUUCCUUCUAAAUCAACCAAAGAAAUGUAUGCUCUUGGGAUAGUGACGCUGUUCCCCUCCCUCAAGGAUCCAAAUUCCAUAAAAGGUUAUGUAAGUGUUGCUGUUAUUAUUUGCUUGACACUUUCAUAUCAUACUUAAAUGUCAUGGCGCUUAAGUUGUUUGUAUAUCAUUGUCAUGGUGGGGGAGAAUAAGUUUCAGAGAAUCCAAAUUUGAUUUCAGGAAUACUUCUAUGAUGCCACAAGGAACACAGGAUGCAUCACCUUGCGUCUGAAAACAGUCAACAGGAAGCGUCGUCAAAGCUCUGCUCUCCAUCAAACAGUUUUGCCAUCAAACAGUUCCUGCAAUGUCCCAGAAUGCCAGAGGGACACUAAUUUAAAAGGACAACUCAAUUGGGAUGCUUGCAUUGAGGCCAUUUCUUUGCUCAAACAAACAACAGAGUCUCUGAUCUUUCAAAAGAUGAACGAGACAUUUCAGCAUCGACGGAAGCUUGUUGGUGAAUCAGACAGAACUGCUGAUAUCUUCUCCAUCUUCCCAAGAUUCCUAAAUGUAAAAGGAUUGGUAAGUUUGAAAUAAUAUAUCCUAGUGGCUUAAAAAUGAUGAUAGUCCAUAGUCUGAUCGCUUCUUUCUUAAAGGUGGAUCAAGAUUUCACUCUCCUAUUUGGUGAUGAGACAUCCUCCAUGUUCCUUGAGAAAUGGGACAUGUUCUUCAGGCCUAAUGUCAUAAAGCAGGCUAAGACACUCACUUCCACACCAGAGUUGAGGCAAUUGCUACUAAUAGCAGAAGGCCCCCCUGGAAGUGAUCUUGUUGGUACUAGAAGUGAGUUGUAUUUGAGACACUUGUUUUAAAACUUGCUUUAAUCAGAGUUCAAGUUGCUUAUUUUGAUAAAAAAUGAAAACAAAUGAUGUUUUUUAUAAUUUAUUUGUCCUGGAUAUGGCCACAAAUUGUUAGAUUUAGACUUGAAAUGUAAAACUAAUUAGAAUGAUCGCUUCAUUAAUUCCUGUAUCUUUUCACCCGCAGCCAGCGACCAACAAAUGUCCUCCCUUUUGUUAUUGUUGCAUCUUCUUCCUCCACCACCAGGAAAGUCACAAAUAAGUGCAUGCGAUGCAGCUCAAAGACUUGUCGUCUUUCACAAGGUAAUGGCAACACAAUCGUUUGUGUCAAUUUCUUAGCUGUAUAUCUGUGCGUUACUUACACAUAUGCUUAAAUUCAGUAUCUGUAAAUUUGAAUAUUGUGAAAAGGUUCAGUAUUGAAGACCACACUCUAAUCAGUCACUUUACCCAAAACACCUGCAAAGGCCUAUUAAAUUCAGUCUAGUUCUAAAGGUCACACAAUCAUAGGAAAGACUGCUGACUUGACAGUUGUCAAAAACGUCCUUACCUUCAUGCUUCCUGCUCCUGAACAACUUGAAGGAGAUGCAGAUUUCCUUUUCCAACAGGACGUGACACCUGGUAUUCCUGUUCUUACUUGCCUGACCUUAACCCUAUAAAAAAUCUAUGGGGUAUUGUGAAGAGGAAGAUGCGAUAUGACUCAACAAUGCAGAAGAGCUGAAGGCCACUAUCAGAGCAACCUGGGCUCUCAUAACACCUGAGCAGUGCCACAGACUGCAACCUUUUGAUGAUGUUCUAAUUAUAUGACCAUCACCUGCAUAUAGAUGCGAUUAAAACCAAGUCUGGGGAUCACAAAUAGCCCAAUAUCAGUAGUUGGUUAAUGCAUGCUUAAUAAAUUAUGUGUAAUGCUCA
rnacentral:lncRNA from 1 species